rnacentral:rRNA from 1 species
UGGGGAAUUGUUCGCAAUGGGCGCAAGCCUGAUGACGCAACGCCGCGUGGGGGAUGAAGGCCUUCGGGUCGUAAACCCCUGUCGAAUGGGACAAAUAGCCCGCGAUUUAACAAAACGCGGGAUUGACGGUACCGUUAAAGGAAGCCACGGCUAACUCUGUGCCAGCAGCCGCGGUAAUACAGAGGUGGCAAGCGUUGUUCGGAAUUACUGGGCGUAAAGGGCGCGUAGGCGGCUUACCAAGUCAGGCGUGAAAUUCCCGGGCUCAACCUGGGGGCUGCGCUUGAUACUGGUGAGCUUGAAUGCGGGAGAGGAUAGUGGAAUUCCCAGUGUAGAGGUGAAAUUCGUAGAUAUUGGGAAGAACACCGGUGGCGAAGGCGGCUAUCUGGCCCGUUAUUGACGCUGAGGCGCGAAAGCGUGGGGAGCAAA